ensembl:misc_RNA 7SK 7SK RNA
AGAUGUGUGCACCAUUUGGUUGGGACAUCUGUCACUGUGCUGACCUGCAGAGCUGAUUCAGUUGGUCUAGCUGGUUGGGUGGCUGUCCCCCUUCUCACAUUCUACUCCACAUAAAUCCCUUCCUAAGCUGUGGCAAUCAGAGAAAGAAGACGGCCACUCCCCUGUGAAGAGUACCUAUCAGCUACACACAGAGCAACUGCUCUGGCUUGGUUUAUCUGUCAAAAAACUAAUUGUGGACUAAACAAAAAUGACCUUUUACUUUUUGGAGGAAGAAGUGGAAGUGACAGCUUUUUGUUCUUC